UCUGCUCCGACUUCUUCGAU
rnacentral:misc_RNA from 1 species